AGAGCGAGGGCCGCGCGGCGCGCCGAAGCCUCGGGGAGCCGCCUUCUCGCCGGCGGUAGGGGCUGCGGGGCGCCCGCCAGCCUCUGGGUCCCCUCUCCUGCCUGGCCCGCCCCGCCUGGGCCGGCAGGAGCCCCGGCACUAGGCAGCCCGCCGAGGGUCGCCGCGCCAGCCAAGGUGGGAUGGGGGCCCACAGCCACCGCCAGGAGCCCGAGAGGCCACCUGCGUGCUAGAGGCAAACUUUUGUCUCCCUCGGGUUACCGCCCAGGACGAUGAGCGGCUGAGAUGGAGACAUCUGCCUUAGCCACUUUCUCUGAGAAGCAAGAAGCCAAAAGUGGGCUCCUGGAGGCCGCUGGCUUCCCCGACCCGGGCAAAAAGGCCUCUCCUCUGGUGGUGGCUGCCCAAGGAGUGCUGCAGCACCUCUUACCACCGUUCCAUGCGCCCCUACCCAUUGAUAUUCGACACCAGGAGGGAAGGUACCAUUAGGAGCUUCAUUCUGUCCACGGCGUGCACGGCCCCCCCGCCCUGAGCGGCAGCCCUGUCAUCUCUGACAUCUCCUUGAUCCGGCUUUCCCCACACCCGACUGGCCCUGGGACUCCCCCUUCAAUGCCCCCCGCCCAUAUGUGAACCCCCACAUGGAGCACUACCUCCGUUCUGUGCACAGCAGUCCCACACUCUCCAUGAUGUCUGCAGCCAGGGGCCUCAGCCCCGCUGACGUGGCCCAGGAGCACCUUAAGGAGAGGGGUCUGUUUGGCCUGCCUGCUCCAGGCACCACCCCCUCAGACUAUUACCACCAGAUGACCCUCAUGGCAGGCCACCCCGCACCUUACGGGGACCUGCUGAUGCAGAGCGGGGGUGCUGCCAGCGCACCCCAUCUCCACGACUACCUCAACCCAGUGGACGUGUCCCGUUUCUCCAGCCCUCGGGUGACGCCCCACCUGAGCCGCAAGCGUACGCUGUCCAUCUCUCCACUCUCAGACGCCAGCCUGGACCUUCAGCGGAUGAUCCGCACCUCACUCAACUCGCUGGUGGCCGACAUCAACAAUUCCCGCAGCAGCUCAGCGGCCAGCGGCUCCUUUGGGCACCUGUCGGCGGGCACCCUCAGCCCAGCCUUCACUUUCCCUCACCACAUCAACCCCGUGGCUUACCAGCAGAUUCUGAGCCAGCAGAGGGGUCUGGGGUCAGCCUUUGGACACACACCACCCCUGAUCCAGCCCUCACCCACCUUCCUGGCUCAGCAGCCCAUGGCCCUCACCUCCGUCAAUGCCACACCCACCCAGCUCAGCAGCAGCAGCAACUGUCUGAGUGACAACCAGAAUAAGCAGAGCAGUGAGUCGGCUGUGAGCAGCACCAUCAACCCCGUCGUGCAAGCGCAGCAAGGUCAAGACCGAGCCUGAGGGCCUGCGGCCGGCCUCCCCUCUGGCACUGACGCAAGGCCAGGUGUCUGGACACGGCUCAUGUGGGUGUGCCCUUCCCCUCUCCCAGGAGCAGCUGGCUGACCUCAAGGAAGACCUGGACAGGAAUGACUGCAAAGCAGGAGGCUGAGGUGGUCAUCUAUGAGACCAACUGCCACUGGGAAGACUGCACCAAGGAGUACGACACCCAGGAGCAGCUGGUGCACCACAUCAACAACGAGCACAGCCACGGGGAGAAGAAGGAGUUUGUGUGCUGCUGGCAGACCUGCACGCGGGAGCAGAAGCCCUUCAAGGCACAGUACAUGCUGGUGGUGCACAAGGGGCGGCACACGGGCGAAAAGCCCCACAAGUGCACGUUCGAGGGCUGCUUGAAGGCCUACUCACGCCUGGAGAACCUGAAGACGCACCUGCGGUCCCACACUGGGGAGAAGCCAUAUGUGUGUGAGCACGAGGGCUGCAACAAGACCUUCUCCAACGCCUCGGACCGCGCCAAGCACCAGAACCGCAUCCACUCCAACGAGAAACCCUACAUCUGCAAGAUCCCAGGCUGCACGAAGCGAUACACAGACUCCAGCUCUCUCCUGAAGCAUGUGAAAACGGUCCACGGCCCAGACACCCACGUCACCAAGAAGCGCGCAACGACGUGCACCUCGGCACACCGCUGCUCAAAGAGAACGGGGACAGUGAGGCCGGCGCCGAGCCUGGCGGCGGUGGUUCUGAGGACAGCGCCGAGGCCAGCAGCACCAGCCAGGCUGUGGAGGACUGCCUGCACGUCAGAGCCAACAAGACCGAGAGCUCCAGGCUGUGUCAGUCCAGCCCCGGGGCCCAGUCAUCCUGCAGCAGCGAGCCCUCUCCCCUGGGCAGUGCCCCCAACAAUGACAGUGGCGUGGAGAUGUCGGGGACGGGGCCCAGGAGCCUGGGAGACCUGACGGAGCUGGAUGACACACCUCCAGGGGCUGACGCCUCAGCCCUGGCUGCCCCCUCCGCCGGUGGCCUCCAGCUGCACAAACACAUGACCACCAUGCACCGAUUUGAGCAGCUCAAGAAGGAGAAGCUCAAGUCACUCAAGGAUUCCUGCUCAUGGGCCGGGCCGACUCCACACACGCGGAACACCAUGCUGCCUCCCCUCCCGGGAAGUGGCUCCAUCCUGGAAAACUUCAGCGGCAGUGGGGGCGGCGGGCCCUCGGGCUUGCUGCCCAAACCGCGACUGUCGGAGCUGUCCGCCAGCGAGGUGACCAUGCUGAGCCAGCUGCAGGAGCGCCGCGAAAGCUCCACCAGCACGGUCAGCUCGGCCUACACCGUGAGCCGCCGCUCCUCCGGCAUCUCCCCCUACUUCUCCAGCCGCCGCUCCAGCGAGGCCUCGCCCUCCGCAGACUCCUACGACCCCAUCUCCACCGAUGCGUCGUGGCGCUCGAGCGAGGCCAGCCAGUGCAGCGGCGGCUGCGGGCUGCUCAGCCUCAUGCCGGCGCAGCACUACAAGCCUGCGGGCCAAGUACGCAGCGGCCACGGGCGGCCACGGGCGGCCCCCCACCCACCCCGCUGCCGGGGCUGGAGCGCAUGAGCCUGCGGACCAGGCCGGCGCUGCUGGAUGCGCCAGAGCGCGCGCUGCCCCCCGGCUGCCCACGCCCGCUGGGGCCGCGGCAUGGCAGCGAUGGGCCGACCUAUGGCCACGGCCACGCAGGAGUCGCACCCGCCUUCCCUCACGAGGCUCCGGGGGACGGCGCCAGGCGAGCCAGCGACCCUGUGCGGCGGCCCGAUGCCCUGGCCCUGCCGCGGGUGCAGCGCUUCUACGGCGCCCACAACGUGAACCCCGACCCGCUGCCGCCCUGUGCGGACAGAUGAGGCCUCCGCCUGCAGAGCCACCCGAGCACUGACGGCGGCCUGGCCCGCGGCACCUACUCGCCCCGGCCGCCCAGCUUCAGCGAGAACAUGGUGAUGGAGGCCGUGGCGGCAGGAGCCGACAGCACGGGACCGGAGGCCGACCUGGGGCUGCUGGAGGACGACCUUGUGCUGCCCGACGAUGUGGUGCAGUGUAUCAAGGCGCACGCCAGUGGCGCUCUGGAUGAAGGUGCCCGGCAGGUGUAUCCCACGGAAAGCAGUGGCUUCUCUGACAACCCCAAACUGCCCAGCCCGGGGCUGCACGGCCAUCGGAGGAUGGUGGCUGCGGACUCCAACAUUGGCCCCUGUGCCCCUGCGCUGGGAGGAUGCCAGCUGGGCUUUGGGGCACCCUCCAGCCUGAACAAAAAUAGCAUGCCUGUGCAGUGGAACAAGGUGAGCUCCGGCACAGUGGACGCCCUGGCCAGCCAGGUGAAGCCUUCACCCGUUCCUCAGGGCAACCUGGCGGUGGUGCAGCAGAAGCCAGCCUUUGGCCAGUACCCAGGCUACAGUCCACAAGGCCUACAGGUGAGUCCUGGGGGCCUGGACAGCACGCAGCCACACCUUCAGCUCCACAGCGGAGCCCCUUCCCAGGGCAUGCCCAGGGUAAACUACAUGCAGCAGCUGCGACAGCCAGCGGCAGGCAGCCAGUGUCCUGGCAUGACUACCGCUAUGAGCCCCCAUGCCUACUAUGGCCAAGCCCACCCCCAGCUGGGCCCCAGCACCAUCAGUGGGGCCCUCAGCCAGUUCACCCCAUCCUGCAGCAGCAUGCCAGCCAAGCCAGUCCAGCUGGGACACCCACAGCAGACGGAAGUUGCACCUGACCCCACCAUUAUGGACAACUGCCACAUGGAACUCGGGGUCCUCAAUUCAGCCCUGGCUGGAGUGCCACCACCUCACCCAGUCCAGAGCUACCCACAGCAGAGCCAUCACCUGGCAGCCCCCAUGAGCCAGGAGGGCUACCACCAGAUCCCCAGCCUUCUGCCUGCCCACCAGCCUGGCUUCAUGGAGCCCCAGCCAGGCCCAAUGGGAGUGGCUACAGCAGGCUUUGGCCUAGUGCAACCCCGGCCUCCGCCAGAGCCCAGCCCCGCUGGCCGCCACCGUGGGGUACAUGCUGUGCAGCAGCAGCUGGUCUAUGCCAUGGCUGACAUGCCAUCCAGUCAGGAGACAGCAGAGGCUGUGCCCAAGGGAGCGAUAGGCACCAUGGGGUCAGCGCCUCCCCAGCCGCCUCCGCCGGACUCGGGGGGGGGGGCCCAGACCACAGCAUGCUCUACUACUAUGGCCAGAUCCACAUGUACGAACAGGAUGGAGGCCUGGAGAACCUCGGGGGCUGCCAAGUCACGCGGUCCCAGCCACCACAGAGACAGGCCUUCCAGGACAACAUCCAGCCCUAGCCCUUGCCCUCACCAAGGGUCAACCAAGUGUCCAGCACUGUGGACGCCCAGAUCCUGGAGGCCCCCCAGAUUGAUUUUGAUGCUAUCAUGGAUGAUGGCGAUCACUUAAGUUUGUUCUCGGGUGCUCUGAGCCCCAGCCUCCUCCACAAUCUCUCCCAGAACUCCUCCCAACUCACCACCCCCCAAAAUUCUCUGACGCUGCCCUCCAUGCCCCCACAGGCAUCAGCAACAUGGCUGUCGGGGACAUGAGCUCCAUUGUCACCAGCCUCACGGAGGAGAGCAAGUUCCUGAACAUGAUGACCUAGAGCCCGGAGCACCUGGAGCUGAGUGCACCCAGAGAUGUCAUCGCUGCCCAGAGCCUAGGAGUUCCAGCUGUUUUGUCUUUUUCCAAAAAAGUGUUAAAUACGCAUGAGGGGUUGUUGCCCAAUGGCAGUUCAGAUGACAGAUGUUGUAAGAGAAGGUUUAUGGGCAUCCUCUCUGGUCUUCGGGAUUAUCACUCAGAACAAUGGAAGAAGUCUCCAUAGAACAGGAAAGAAUGCAAAACUCAUUUACACCAUGCUCUCCAGCCUUUGGUGUUUAUGGGACAACUCUGUUCCGGCUUCCUCAUGGCUGACAUUUGACUAAAUAGGGAUUACUCUGGCCAAAGGCUUUCCAAGGAUAUGCAGAAAGAGGGUAGGGAGCAUUUGGGUUUGAAUCUGAAUGCCAUACUGGAUAUUCUGGAAAUGUAAGCUUCUUCUGCUACUUGGCAGGAAAAGGAAUUCCUGGUCCCACCUGAAUUCCUCUAUGAAGCCUAACUCUUGAGGUCUCCAACAUCCCUUGUCAUAGAGGAAAAGUACAGAUGAUACCUGGAUGAUUCAGAAGUACAUUCCGAGUCCAGGUUUGGUAGAGCUGGCUCUUCUACCCCAUAAUGCUGAGUUUGGGACUGGCAGCCCAUCCAAGUGUAUAUGAAUGAAUAAAGUAUUAAGUAUCACCAGAAAAAGGAAAGAAAAAAUGUACUCCUCGCGGCAAGCCCAGAAGCUGCCCUGGCCUUUCCAGACCGUGUUUACAGUGUUUGCAUGUAGAAUGUAGCCCUUCCUGAAAAGAAGACUUGUUUCUAAAUACCUCAGGGCUGCUGGAGCCACUGUGGGUUACGGAUCGUCGAAGGUCUUGAGGGGUGACAGUGCACUCGGGGCAGAGCCUCAGGCCUCCCUGGGGAUCUCCCAGUAGGAAGACGAAGUCAUGUGUAUACCCAAUCCUGUUUCUCCAAUGCAAUGGCCACCCAUUUACCACGAAAAUCUCCACGGCUUGACAGCAGCCCAGGCUCCCCAGCACUCACCAGCAGCCCAGUGUUCCACCAAGCCACAGCGAGCAGGCCUGGUGUCCUCCAGAUUCCCUUCCUUCUGCCCCCGCAGUCACUGGGCAGAGAAUGAUGAUGUGUGGUGGUAUGGGUGGGGGUGGAAGGGGGAGGAGCUGAUCCUCAGGUCAUUGAAUUUUCCUGGUGAGUGUGACCAAGAUCCACCUGACAAUGGAAUUUGGAACUGGCUUCAAGAGACAUCAUUCCUGGACACACUGGAGGGUGAAUUGGUGCAUCUUCCCCACCACACACACACACACACACACACACACACACACACUCCCCAAACCUUCUCAUGGGGAAUGUGUGGCAACCUUGCCAAACUAGCAGCACCACUCAGCAUGUGACUCUGACUGUGACCUUGGCCUCAAUGAGGAACUUCUUAGGAGAGUUUGAGGACAAGGCCAUCAUCAUCUGGCCCCCCUGCAUCCCAGCGUAUCAAACUGUCCAGAGACAAGGCCAACUGCAGGCGAAAGCCAGGGAACGUUGCUAAGGGUCCGUGGCUCUGCAGUGGUGUUCACUGCCUUCCCAUUAGGAUUUUCCUUGCUAGUCCCGACCUGUAUAUAUUCUGUACAGAAGACAUCCCUGAAUAUACUGUAGGUGAGUCAUCCAGCCAAAUUUAUAUCUCCAAAACAUUUUUAGCUUUUUCUACAUGCUAUGAAUUGAGGUGACAUGCUCAACUUGUAAAUAAGUCUUUUUGUACAUUAAAAAAGUAAUUUUUUCAUAAAAAAAAGAAAAUAGUAU